rnacentral:rRNA from 1 species
GACGAACGCUGGCGGCGUGCUUAACACAUGCAAGUCGAGCGGUAAGGCCCUUUCGGGGGUACGACGAGCGGCGAACGGGUGAGUAACACGUGGGUGACCUGCCCUCAGCUCUGGGAUAAGCCUGGGAAACCGGGUCUAAUACCGGAUAUGACUCCAUGACGCAUGUUGUGGGGUGGAAAGCCUUGUGCGGCUGAGGAUGGGCCCGCGGCCUAUCAGCUUGUUGGUGGGGUGA